ensembl:lncRNA
GUGUGAAGGCUGGGCCUGCACGGUGGGAGGGACAACUGGAAAGUCAGCGCCGGCUUCGAAUCUGUCCCCCUCAGCCACUCCCACUUCCUGUCAAGUCAGAGCCUUGCUUGCUGCCAACUGGGCUGAGGAACACUUGACCCUCACCUACCUCACCCUCAGCGUAUCAAGUGAGGGCCACAGUAGCACAGAGCACUCCGAGCAAUGGAAGGAAAGCAUGAGGAAUCUUCCAGAGCCUCGAAAGCCAUAAGCACUAUGCUGGAUCCUGGAAACUGUAAACUACCCUGGGGUAUUGGGGCUCCAGGUGAAAGUGGGGACUGGAGCACAGCCGGCCUUGGCCGUUAUUCUCUGAAGUUUUUGGCCACCGCGUUUGCCUGAGUUUCUCCAUCCCAGCUUCCUUUCGGCAAGCUCUAAAGCAGGCAUGAAUUUAUCUGCCAUUCUCUUUUCCCUCUCCAACAUUCUUAGCUACAGAUCAAAGGUACCAUCCCGAUUAUUGGUGGAAUUUGAGCUUAGUAGCUGUGUCCCCAGCCCUCAGCUGCAAAUUUACCCACACAAACAUGAAGGAGAGCUAGAACAUUCUCUUCUCCCUCUCUUCAAGUCCCCAGUGUCCACAUCUUUUCCAGAAGUUACCUGGAGACGUCAGUAUGAGGCUUUUUUCCCUGAAUACUGAAUCCGGAGUUACAGGAAGGGAUCUUUUGGGGCUAUCGGUGAUCUAGAGCAGAGCUCCAAAGGCACUACUUUGACUCAGAAGGUGAGAGAGCAGUUGAUCUACACGACCGAUUUGUAGCCUAAGUAUGUGACACACAGAAGGGUCUCACCUCAGGCCACCUCCUGGACACGUGUAAACACACACACCUGCACCCAUUUCCCUGGACAGCAAUCAGAGGAACCAGACCUAUGCCACGAAGGAUGGGUUUCUUAUACUGGUCUCCAGUGCCGCGAAGAAGCAGGAUAGGUGCCCGAGAGGGUCAAGGAUAAUCUGAUCAUUUCUUCGUCCUUUCUCACACAGCACACCGAUCAGCAGGAAACCGGACUGGAUCUGGGUAGCUGCUAGAGCCUCUGUCCUCUUGACACUACCUGCUUUCCAGAACUCUACCUCUCAGCUUAUGAGAAGUCAGGGGUGGUAAUCUUUGGAAUAAAAGGAGAAAUGGAAAAGAACGCCCAGCGAGAGGCACAAACCCAGAUGUAAAUUAAAUCUGUGCCCCGCCCUGCCCCAAAUCUUCAUGAAAGUUUAUUCCCUCGGCUUUCCAUGUCUUUAUUUUGCACUUUUAAGCUCCCCCCAUCUUGAAUAUUCCUGUGGAAAGUUCUUGAUUCUUGAGCCUGGGGGGUUUGUCUAUUUAAAAAAAAAGAAAAUGUUAAAUCAUAGAGGUUUAGCCACUGAACAUGUUAAACUAUAAGUUAUGUUUCAAGCUGUGAGGAAAAAAAAAAAGUUUUAAAGACUGAAAUAAAACUUGCAAACAAAGCUCUGGUCCUUUGUGUAUGAGCGCAUCCCUGCGGAGAACUCAGAAGUCCCUGGGACAGGUUUCCAUCAGCUGUAGACAGAAGCAAAACCCUCAGCCACAGCCAGGGACCUGACAGGUUUUUUUCAUGACCAUGGAAUUAAUCACAUCGAUUCUAACCAUAAACAUUCUUCAGGAAUUCAGAAAAGCCACACUUCAUUAGCGCCAUUAUUCUCCCCUGUAUUGUAACCAGAAGACUAAUUUGAAGUUUUUGCUUCCAGAAUGUGACUUGUGAUUCAAUAGAGUCCUUCCUGCUUCUAGAAGGGGCUGAAACGAGGAUGCGGCAGUUGUUAUCACCUCGUUCAACGGUGCAUAAGACGCCAGAACUUUCCUGCUUUGUCGACAGAAUGUCCUUUCAGAGAUUGUGAUCUAAGAAACCCAAAAGGGACACACAAUUCUUUCUCAUUUCAUGGUGUUCCAGGUAUGCAAGGAUUGCUGAAGCAGAGCACCCCUGUCCUCUGGAGCCCUCAUGAGAUGCUAAAUACUCCACAGGACUUCACGCUUGCUCUGAUUUGAAAUGGUACCACACAAAGCUGAGGAGCUAAGGCAGUGAGAGAUAAGAAGGUUAUCAGGAUAUCUUGCUCAGUGCAGGGAUGUAGAGACAAGCCCUGAGAGAGGAUAGGGUUUGGAAAGGCUAGAUAACUGUAACGAGGGCAGAGAAGACGUGGCAGAAUAGAAUGUUAGGAGAUGGAACCAAGAGGAACCAAAUGUGAUGGGGCGAAACCCCAGGGCCCAGAUGCAAAUACAGCCCCCUUCGACAACAUGGGAGGGGAGACUGGGGGAAAGGAAACCCUCUCUCUGUCAUCAGCCUUUAUAUAUCCAGCAUGUUUCUUCUGCCCAGUUUCCAGGGAAGCCUCAGACGCCUCUAGUUUACUGAAAGCAGAGCAAAUCCCUGUGGUAGUUGAUAGUGUGUCGAUCCAGAGCUCAGCUUCUAUUAAGGGACAGUGCAAGUCUCCAGCACAUGCACCUCUCUGCACACCCAUAACCCAUCCCCACUGUCAACUUUUCCAAACCCUGAGAACAUGGGUACUGAGUCCACUAUUUCCACUGCCUUUUAUUUUAUUUUUUUAUUAAAAUUUUUUAUUGGUUUUUUAUUGAUUUACAAUGUUGUGUUAUUUUCAGGUGUACAGCAAAGUGAAUGUUAUAUAUCAGUUAUAUAUAUAUAUAUAUAUCUCCAUUGUUUUUCAGAUUCUUUUCCCAUAUAGGUUAUUAGAGAAUACUGAGUAGAGUUCCCUGUGCUCUACAGUAGAUCCUUAUUAGUUAUCUAUUUUAUAUAUAGUAGUGUGUAUAUGUUAAUCCCAAUCUCCUAAUUUAUCCCUUCCCCCCAUGUUUCCCCUUUGGUAACCAUAGGUUUGAUUUUGAGAUCUGUGAGUCUGUUUCUCUUCUGUAAAUAAGUUCAUUUGUGUCAUUUUUAAAUUAGAUUCCACAUGUAAGUGAUAUCUCCACUGCCUUUAUUUAGUUUUAAAAAUAUUUAUUUAUUUAUUUAUUUGGCUACGCCAGGUCUUAGCUGCAGCACGCGGGAUUUUUAUUUGCAGCAUGCGAACUCUUAGUUGCGGCACGUGGGAUCUAGUUGCUCCCUGACCAGGGAUCCAACCGGGCCCCCUGCAUUGGGCGUCUUCGCCACUGGACCACCAGGGAAGUCCUUCCACUUCCUUUUCAACAUUAGGUGGGUGUUUGGUUUAAUUACAAAGGGGAUGAAUCGUUCUUUAAAAUUAAAAUGAUAUUGGAGUCCAUAUAUAAAGUAAAAAGUAAAAGUUCUCUCUCCGUUUUUCCUAUGCAAUAGUUAAAUUCGGGUGUAUCCUUCUAGACUUGCUCACGCAUAUAUGGAAAUAUCUGUCUAUAUAUAUACAUGGACCACAAUAUACAUAUUUAAUCUAUUUUCUUUUUAGGCAAAUGGGAUUCUAUUAAACACAUUACCCUACAAUUUGCUUGUUCUCCCUUAAUGUUUCUUGGGCAUUAUUUCAUGUCUCUGCCUAUUCCUAAAUAUUCUUAUUGCCUCCACAAUGCAAUUCAUAGCAUGGAUACAUUGUAAUUGUUCACUGAAAAAUUUUAUUUCAAAUGGUAUAUACAAAAAUAAAUAUCUUGGGCAAUCUUCCUAUCACAUCAGACUUGUUCCUUCAGCCAAGAUGGCUUCCACUUGUUAACUAAGGUGCUCAACUCCAUUGCCUAUGAAUCUCUUCCUCUUUCAGGAAAUUCAAUGCUUUAUAUUAAAAAAAUUUUUUUUGAAAUAUAGUUGAUUUACAACGUUGUGUUAGUUUCAAGUGUACGGCAAAGUGAUUCAGUUAUACACAUAUAUAUUCUUCAGAUUCUUUUCUGCAAUAGAUUAUUACAAGAUAUUGAAUAUAGUUCCUUGUGCUAUACAGUAGGUCCUUGUUGUUUACCUAUUUUAUAUAUGGUAGUGUGUAUAUGUUUUUUUUCUUCUUUGUUUUUGCUGUGCUGCACAGCUUGUGGGAGCUUAGUUCCCCAAUCAGGGUCUGAACCCAUACCCCCUGCAGUGGAAGCAUGGAGCCCUAACCACUGGACGGCCAGGGAAUUCCCAGUAGUGUGUAUAUGCUAAUCACAAACUCCUAAUUUAUCACCCCCUCUCCCCGCCUUCCCUUUUGGUAACCAUAAAAUUGUUUUCUAUGUCUG